rnacentral:lncRNA from 1 species
UGGCACCCCAUGCAUCAUCGAUCAGUGCCUACUACUAACACAGGGGGAAUCCAUCCGUGCUUAAAUGCAGCAGCCUCUGCUCCUGUGAUCGCAAAUAUUUGAUUUGCAUUUUGAGUUUCCCUCCAAAGCUCGCCUCAGUUUACCCAAAAGAAGAAAACAUCCACCCCCAAUGAAUAAGGCUACGUCUGUGUUCCCAGGGUUCAUGCCAGGCUGGGAAACAUCACAACAGAGAUGGACCAAAUGCCCUAGCCCCGACUCCCCAUAAAUUAAAGAGCCAGAUAACCAGACACCAACGCGCGCACCAAGGCGAAGACUGAGCUUAAACUCAUCAACCAGGAGGGAAGGCUCUGCUGCCUGCGUCCUGCCUGGGACACACUCGGCCACGCUGCUGCAGUGCAACCACGGCCACCACGGGCACCGCAUCGCGCCCGCCGCCCUCACCCACCUUCUUUGCGCAGGGGCCUUGGCAAACAGAUACUUACUGGGCAUUCCGGAAUGUGCUGAUCUAUGGUCGGACACUGUUCUUUGCCAUGCCUGCCUCGGGUGGCCUCUACAGCCUUUCCACACAUGCAACUGUGCAGAGCGUGUGGGUCAUCCCAAGAACGGAGGGGUGAUGUCUCUGCACGACUCACCGCGUCACUAGUGAUUAGCAGAACACCUGCCCCUCAGUAACUAACAUGAAACGAGCAUUCAUUUUUAAAUCAAUAGGAAAGGAGCACCUGGGUGGCUCAGGGGGUUCAAGCAUCUGCCUUUGGCUCCGGUCAUGAUCCCGGGGUCCUGGGAUCGAGC